UUUUAUUUCUCUAAGCCGAGAGGGGAGAUGAGCUUCCCUUUGGCUGCUCCCUACGCGAUUCUGGUGAAGCACCGGUGACCUCCUCUUAGCUCCGUAAAAUAUCUCUUUCAAAAUUCUAGACAAAUCGAGCACCAAACUUAUUUCCACCCUUCCUAAUCUCUCUAAAAUAGAACAAAAAAUGGCUACCUUUGAUGCUAUGAAGGUCCUUCAACUUCGGUGAAGCAAGAACAAACCUGAUAGGUAAUAUCAGAGUUGUUAGGAGAAUGUUCAUGGUAGGAGAUGGCUUCCCAAUCGAGUGGUAGGAAUGGCCUCUUGGCAGUGACCAACACGGUGGUCGGAGUGUAACCGGAUGACGGCGACGCAUCGUAGAACUUGGUCUCAACGGCGGCUGGAGAAAGGGUGAAAACCCUAGUUUGUUUGUUUCAACAUAUUUGGGCUUAGGAUUUGGAACUGUUGAGCCCAUUUGAUGGGUCUUGUAAUGGGUCAAUAUUGGGCCUUGGG